AUUAUCUGAAAAGCAUGGUUACUAAUAAUUAUAUUAAUUUGGAAUGAAUUCCUUUCUUCUGCAGACCGUUAAGUUAACUGCAAUCAACGAAUGUCAUUUAUUUGUCAAAACCAAAACCAGUCCCUGUUGGAAAUUAAUAGUACAAAAUCACAAAUACAAACUGGUUGCCCUAAAAACUGGACAGCAUUCAGAGACAAGGAAAUCGC